ensembl:lncRNA
UCUCUCCCGGCUUAAGGCCUCUAGGCUCGCCCCCAACUUCCACCCCACGCCGGCGCUGUAAGUGGUCAUCGCCCGGCAGCCCGAGACCAAGACGCGUGCAUCCCCACAGCCUCUGAUUCCCUGACAACCCCUAGGCCGGAGCCAGCGCGACCAAUAACGUGCCAGGUCCUCGGCCUCCCCGCCACCGACCAAUCACGAGCGAGCCCCCCCCCGCCGUCGCCUUCCGCCAAUGGGAGAAAGCCCGCGAGCCGGGCCGACAAGGCGCACGGACCCCGCGAGCGCGACGGCGGCGACAGCGACGGGCCAGGGAGAACACAACAUGGCGGUGGGCAGGCCGGACCGAACUACAGCAGCAGCCACGCGAGGGAAGUGAGGUCUCCGCCGAGGGCGGGAAGCGCCGCCCCUCCCCCCGCGACUGCCGCUCACCUCUCCCCCUCCCUCCCGCGGACGCUCCCGCACACUCACACGCCUCGGCUCAGAAGUCCAGGGAAGAGCAGGAGCCGCCCCCGCGCUCCGGCGGAGUCGGGCAAUGCAGAGGCCUGGGCACGACGGAGGGGAGGGGGAAGCGUGCGUCACGGAGAACGGAGCGCGCGCUAAGCCGGGGUACAAACAAGAUGGCGGCCACGCCGUUUGCACUGUCUCCCCCCGCUUCCCCUCCCCCUCCCUUGGCGCCUUGGCUCCGAGUGUCUUUAAUGCGCAGAAGCUUAGUCGCUUGAAGUCUCGCGAGAAUUGAGAAGGGGCGACGACUUGGAAGUAACAGCUGGAGGAUGGAGGGCGGCAUGAGGAAUGCCAGAUUAAGUGCGCUGUUAAAGAAGACAGCUGCCAGUACCGUAAAAGGGGAUUUAAAACUGUAAAGAUACACUUCAGAAUAAAGAACAGCACUUUCCUAGAAUGGUCACCUUGUAACUUUACGUCUAUAUGCACAUUGUUUUUGUCACUUGACUGCAGAAUUAAAACUUCUUUAAAAGCAGUUGGAAACUGAACUGCAACCAGCACUCGUUUUCAUGCUUUACCGCUUUAAUCUCCACAACUACUUAGUCCGAAGGCAUUAGCAUUAUUUCUGUUUUACUGGUGAUGAAGUUGAAGCGCCAAAAUGUUAAGCAACUUAAGGCUCCGCAGCUAGUUAAUGGCGAGACUCGGUUUGAAUAGUCAAAUCUGUAUAUAAAUACAUCUAAUAUAUAUUGAGUAGAAUCAUCCACAAUGAAACUGUGCACUAGGUUGCAAGCACAAAUAAGACUGCUUUUGCUGGUGUUUACCUUGAAGUUUACAGAUGACUUUUCUGAGACUUGUUUUGCAGGGGUUCUCAACAAUAAAAUCAAUACACUAUUAUUAUUUCCUUCCUUUGAGUUUAUGACCCUAGUGAUAAAGUUGUUGAGAAUAAUGGAAUAAAUCCUUGACUUGAAUUCAGGAAAAUUGUUUUCAAAUCCAGCCUUAAUAAAUCUCACUUCAUGCAUUCAAUAAAUAUUUGAUGAAUAAAUAAAACCUGACUAGUUACAAGACACUUAAGUUCACUAAGUCUUGUUGAUUUCUUCAUCUGUAAAGUGAUCUAAUUCCUACCUCAGAGUGUCAGGGAUAUUGAAUGAAACAGUUUAAGGGAGAGUGCUUUGCAAAAGAAUUUCAAAGUAGUGAUAAUGAUGUUUUCAGACAUGAGAAAUGGCAUAAAAAUUAAAAACAGACUCAAGAAAUAGUAUGUUGAGAUAAAUAAGCUUAGCUAAUGGGGAAAUGGAGAAGGCUAUGGCACUCCACUCCAGUAUUCUUGCCUGGAAAAUCCCAUGGGCGGAGGAGCCUGGUGGGCUGCAGUCCAUGGGGUCGCACAGAGUCGGACAUGACUGAAGUGAUUUAGCAGCAGCAGCAAUGGGGAAAAGCUAGGUUUGGUCCCAGAAUGAAGCUGUGCAGAGCCCCAGUUGACACACAGGACAUGUAAUCAGCCCAACGUGAAGGCCUCAGGGCAAGGACACCUUCAGAACCAGCAGCCAUCAGCCCAAAGAGCGCCCCUGGACUCAGGCCCUGCCAUUCUGCCCCUGAAUGCUGUUCCUGCCCACACCGCUUAAAGAUGUGGACCUGAACCCCCGAGAGACCUCAGGAGGACUGGGCCCUCUUGUCGAACAGCCUUUCAGGCAAACUUUCAUCUCUAGUUAUGGCUGAAUAUAGUACUCCAUUAAGUGUAUAUAACGUAUUUUGCUUAUAAAUUCAUCCGGC